CAGGUAAAGACCAACCUCUCUGGAAUCCCAUGAGGUAUGCAUCUCUGGGCUGGCACUGGACCAUUAAUAAUUACUUACCGAGAAAGGCCUUCUAAGCCCUAAUGAGUCCAUCCAAUGAGAAGAUGAUUUCAGGAUGUAGUUCUUUAAUUGCCCAACGUCAAGCAAGACAAAACUUAAAAAUGUACGCUCGUUGGACUAGUGAAUUGUAUUUCUUAACAACCAAAAGCCUGGCCCUAAGGACAUGAGAUUCCAAAUGGCUAACCUGCAAAUUGGAGCACAAGAGGAACAGAGGGAAGAGAUCUAAUGGUACUGGUGAAUAUUAGCAUACUGUCCUCUAAGUGCUUGUUGCCUACCUUCUGGCAUUCAACAUUCAUUGAUCUUCUGGAAAUGGGCCACGCCCUUGGAUGCAAUCUAGAAUAUACACCCAAUACUGAAUUAAUUACAACAAGUUAAAAUUACGCAGUGUGGCUCCUUGAAGCAAACAUGGACUUUGAUAUAAGGGAGUGUUGGAUUUGCAACCUGACAGGACAUCUUAGGAGUUGUGUGACUUUGGCUUCUUUGGGUUACUUCUCUGAAGCUUAGUUUCUUUUUCUGUAAAAUGGAGGAAGUGCUGCUUACAAGGUUUUUUUUUUUUUUUUUUAGAGGUUAAAAGAGAUAACGG
rnacentral:lncRNA from 1 species